rnacentral:rRNA from 1 species
AGCAGCCGCGGUAAUUCCAGCUCCAAUAGCGUAUAUUAAAGUUGUUGCAGUUAAAAAGCUCGUAGUUGAAUUUCGGGAUCAGUACGCUGGUCGUGCCUUCGGUAUGUACUGGUGUUACUGGUUCCUACCUUCUGACGAACCGUCAUGUCAUUAAUUUGGUGUGGCGGGGAAUCAGGACUGUUACUUUGAAAAAAUUAGAGUGUUUAAAGCAGGCUCGCGCUUGAAUACAUUAGCAUGGAAUAAUGAAAUAGGACGUUCGAUCCUAUUUUGUUGGUUUCUAGGAUUGACGUAAUGAUUAAUAGGGAUAGUUGGGGGCAUUAGUAUUCAAUUGUCAGAGGUGAAAUUCUUGGAUUUAUUGAAGACUAACUACUGCGAAAGCAUUUGCCAAGGAUGUUUUCAUUAAUCAAGAACGAAAGUUAGGGGAUCGAAGACGAUCAGAUACCGUCGUAG